rnacentral:rRNA from 1 species
AUAUCAAUAAGGCGAGGAACAGAAACCAACCGGGAUUCCCCCAGUAGUGGCGAAUGAAGUGGGAAAAGCUCAAGUUUGAAAUCUGGCUUCAGUCAGAGUUGUAAGCUGAAGAGGCUUCGACCGAUGUGGCUUGGGCUCAAUUCCCUUGGGAUAGGGAGUCAUGGAGGGUGAGAACCCCGUCUGUGGCCCUUUGGCCUGCAUCCUUGUGUCGUUUCCUCGAAGAGUCGGGUUGUUUGGGAAUGCAGCUCAAAAUGGGUGGUAAAUUUCAUCUAAAGCUAAAUAUUGGCGAGAGACCGAUAGCAAACAAGUAGAGUAAUCGAAAGAUGAAAAGUACUUUGAAAAGAGAGUGAAACAGUGCGUGAAAUUGUUGAAAGGGAACCGUUUGGUAUCAGCCCAUGGCUGUCCUUGAUCAUCCAGGCUUCUGUCUGGUGCACUCGGGGGCGGCUGGGCCAGCGUCGACUCUGCCCGCCGGAGAAAGGCCUGAGGAAUGUGGCUCUUUGGAGUGUUAUAGCCUCAGGUGUCAUGCGGGGUGGUGGGGUCGAGGUCUGCGGUCUUCCUAGGACGCUGGCGUAAUGGUCCCAAGCGA